rnacentral:rRNA from 1 species
UACGUAGGGAGCAAGCGUUGUCCGGAAUCAUUGGGCGUAAAGCGCGCGUAGGCGGCCCUGUAAGUCCGUUGUGAAAGUCAAAGGCUCAACCUUUGAAAGCCGAUGGAUACUGCAGGGCUAGAGUCCGGAAGAGGCGAGUGGAAUUCCUGGUGUAGCGGUGAAAUGCGCAGAUAUCAGGAGGAACACCAAUUGCGAAGGCAGCUCGCUGGGACGUUACUGACGCUGAGACGCGAAAGCGUGGGGAGCAAACAGG